UUGAAGCCUCAAGCCCCUCUCCUCCUUCAAACCCUCUUCUUCUCUCUCUUCUCUCUUCUUCUUCCCUCUCUCUGCCUUGAAAGUAAAAAAAGUCUCAGAGCCAUGGACCAACACAAGACCAAAGAAACUUUAAAACUCCUCUGUAGCUAUGGCGGGAAAAUCCUCCCACGUCACACCGACGGUAAUCUCCGUUACGUCGGUGGCCUCACUCGUGUUCUCGCCGUAGAUGCCUCCAUUUCCUUUGCAGAGCUAAUGGUGAAGCUCGCGGAGUUCUGUGGCUACUCUGUGGAUUUGAGGUGUCAAUUGCCGGGUGGAGACUUGGAGACCUUGAUUUCGGUCAAGUCCGAAGAGGAGUUAGCUAAUAUCAUCGAAGAGUACGAUCGAGCUUCUUCUUCGUCUCGUCCUCUAAAGAUCAGAGCCAUUCUCUCGCCGUCGAAAUCGCUGAAGCAAAUCUCGCCUCCUAUGUCUAUGGCUACGAGCGGCGGCGAUUCGUCCCCUUCGAAAUCGCUUUUAUCGUUCACCGAUUCGCCUCCGAAACGGUAUGUUUCGCCUCUGAAAGGGUAUGUUUCGCCUCCGAAACGGUACGCUUCGCCGCCGAUUGUACAUCCCGGGCCAGUCAGGUUUCAGAAAGGGUCCGGACGUGUUUGCUACUAUCCUUGCCAUGUCCAGAGCAACCCCAGCGACAUGUCGUAUCUUCCUCCUCCUCAUCAUCAACAUCACCAUCGUCAUCAACACGUUCCUCACUGCAAUGACUGGCGUUGAGAUUCGAAGCCCUAACUUCUAGGAGCUUCACACAAAGAAUAUCGCUGAUGACGGAAAAAAUUUAAUCAAAAACUUAAAAAACAAAAUAGAAAACAAAUACAAGGGUGAAAUUUUGUGAUUGGUUGUGAAAUGAAGGAUUUUCCUUUUUUCCUUUUAUUUUUUCAUUUUUUUCGAGGUGGUAUAAUGACAAAAAUUCAUUGCUUGAAUUUGUGUCGCCGUGAAUUCUGGUACAACUUUUAUCGUUCGGGAUUCCGUUAGUCGCCGUUAAGCCAGCGCUGUACACUGUCCAGCAUGCGUGCCACGUAGCGUAAAUAGGUGGUGGUUGCAUUUGGCAUCAGAAUUAGAUGCCGUUUCGGAUGGGGCCCGCGAGGAAUAUUAUAAAAUAAAACGCUUAUGCGUUGAACUUUUGGACCUUCUCCCAUAAGACUAAAAAAAAGUCUUAAAAGGCCGCCAGCUUGGUCUGAAAUUAAGUAAAAAAAAAUUAAAGACGAAUUAUUAUGGCCUUAAAAAUAGAAUUAAUAAUUAAUUAUGAGAUGUGACCUUCCUAGUGGCUACCUACUAGGCCACUGGUAAACAAAGAAUAGACCAGAAGAAGGACGAAUAUUUUCUAACUUGCCUUACCCUCAGGGUUGGCCAGUUGGUGCCUGAUGGAUCAUCCUAGGAAGUAAGGAGGAAUGACUUUUAUAAAGGGCAAACUUUGAAUGCUUCUUAGACAA